GUUCUGGACAAUUCAAGCCUCAUCAGUCUCUCUCUCUCUCUCAUUUCAAAACCCUAGUUCCAGUCCUAAACUUGCCACCAAUCAUAUUCAUUUUCGCAGUGUUUCCAAAGGGUUGGUUGAUCUGCUAAAUCGGCCAAGGGUGGGAAACAAAAUGAAAGUUAAACUCUUACGUGGCAUGCUGUCUCUUCAUGGACUUGGGAUGCACAAGAUGAAACAUGUGGAAUAUGUAGAUUGGCCUUUGAUGGUUGUUGUCCUGACUGUAAACACCCAGGGGAUGAUUGCCCACUAAUAUGGGGUGAAUGCAACCAUGCGUUUCAUCUUCAUUGCAUCUU